rnacentral:rRNA from 1 species
AUUGAACGCUGGCGGCAGGCUUAACACAUGCAAGUCGAGCGGAGAGAGGUAGCUUGCUACCGAUCUUAGCGGCGGACGGGUGAGUAAUGCUUAGGAAUCUGCCUAUUAGUGGGGGACAACAUUUCGAAAGGAAUGCUAAUACCGCAUACGUCCUACGGGAGAAAGCAGGGGAUCUUCGGACCUUGCGCUAAUAGAUGAGCCUAAGUCGGAUUAGCUAGUUGGUGGGGUAAAGGCCUACCAAGGCGACGAUCUGUAGCGGGUCUGAGAGGAUGAUCCGCCACACUGGGACUGAGACACGGCCCAGACUCCUACGGGAGGCAGCAGUGGGGAAUAUUGGACAGUGGGCGCAAGCCUGAUCCAGCCAUGCCGCGUGUGUGAAGAAGGCCUUAUGGUUGUAAAGCACUUUAAGCGAGGAGGAGGCUACUGAAGUUAAUACCUUCAGAUAGUGGACGUUACUCGCAGAAUAAGCACCGGCUAACUCUGUGCCAGCAGCCGCGGUAACAC